GUCUUCGUGGUGUAAUGGUGAGUACGCUCGGCGCGUAUUCGAGAGAUCCGUGGUUCGAAUCCCGGCGAGGGUA
rnacentral:tRNA from 1 species